rnacentral:sRNA from 1 species
CCCUAGCCGGGGGGCCACAUGAGUGGAAGGCCGGACGCGGAUUAGUCGGACAGUGCCGCGCAUAAGAAAAACCCCGACAGCC